CUAAUCGAAGAAUUCAAAUAGAGAAAAAUAUUCAACGCGUGACCGAACAACACAUUAAUUCGCGAAUGCGCGUAGCGCAUGAGUUAAUUAUCAGUGUUGUUCGGUCACGAGUUGAAUAUUUUUCGAUAUUUGAAUUCUUUAAUUAGUUAUUCUUUUUAUUACAUUGGCAAAUGGCUUUUUUGUAAGAAGUUAAUGUAUAACAUGUAAGGAACUAUAUCUUUUUUCUAUGCAUUCACAAUUUGUUUUGAUCCGCCGUUAUCGACGUCUUGACAACGCCUAUUGUUGUAU
rnacentral:lncRNA from 1 species